AAGAACUAACAGGAUUCCCUCUAGUAACGGCGAGUGAAGCGGGAAGAGCUCAAAUUUAAAAUCUGGCUUGCUUGCAAGUCCGAGUUGUAGUCUGAAGAAACGUUUUCCAUGAAAGCUGAGGCACAAGUCUUUUGGAACAAGGCAUCAUAGAGGGUGAGAAUCCCGUCCAUGGUCUCAUGCAUUUCAUUUUGUGAUACGUUUUCUAAGAGUCAGGUUGUUUGGGAAUGCAGCCUAAAAUGGGUGGUAAAUUUCAUCUAAAGCUAAAUAUUGGCGAGAGACCGAUAGCGAACAAGUACCGUGAGGGAAAGAUGAAAAGAACUUUGAAAAGAGAGUUAAAAAGUACGUGAAAUUGUUGAAAGGGAACCGUUUGAAGCCAGUCUUGCUUACUUGUGAUCAAUCUUAGCUUCGGCUUGGAUGCACUCUCGAGUUAUGCAGGUCAACGUCAGUUUGAGAGGUGAGAAAAAAGUUUGAGGAAUGUGGCCUUCGGGUGUUAUAGCCUCUUACUAAAUAUCAUCUCCUGGACUGAGGCUCGCAGCAAAAAUGUGGGUUGGUUUGCUCCUGAGGUGAAUCAUUAUUAAGACAGCUUGCUGACUUAGUUUUGUGGAUCUUCACGGUAGACCAGCUUCUAAUUUGCUUAGGUCGUUGACAUAA
rnacentral:rRNA from 1 species